UAGGGUGUAGCUCAGUGGUAGAGCUUUUGCCUAACAUACUUGAGGCUCUGGGUUUGAUUUCCAGCACCUCAA
rnacentral:tRNA from 1 species